CGCCUGAACUGAAACAUCUAAGUAGGGCGAGGAAAAGAAAUCAACCGAGAUUCCGCAAGUAGUGGCGAGCGAACGCGGAAGAGGCCAAACCGGCUGUAGAAAUAUGGCCGGGGUAAGGACAGCAAAAUGUAUGUUGGACCCUAGCAGAAGGGCAUGGGACGGCCCACCACAGAGAGUGAUAGUCUCGUAUGCGAAAGGGAAAAACAGCAGGCUGUAUCCAGAGUACCACUGGACACGUGAAACCCGGUGGGAAUAUGGGGGGACCACCCUCCAAGCCUAAAUACUCCCUGGUGACCGAUAGUGAAGAGUACUGUGAAGGAAAGGUGAAAAGAACCCCGGGAGGGGAGUGAAAAGAACCUGAAACCUUGUGCUUACAAGCACACAGAGCACGUCAAGGUGUGAUGUGGUACCUUUUGUAGAAUGGUCCGGCGAGUGAAUGUAACGAGCAAGGUUAAGCACUUUAGGUGUGGAGCCGAAGCGAAAGCAAGUCUGAAUAGGGCAUCAAGUUCGUUGUAUUCGACCCGAAACCGGGUGACCUAGCCAUGUCCAGGCUGAAGUGAAGGUAAAACUUCAUGGAGGGCCGAACCCACUCCCGUUGAAAUGGUAGGGGAUGAGGUGUGGCUAGCGGAGAAAUUCCAAUCGAACCCGGAGAUAGCUGGUUCUCUCCGAAAUAGCUUUAGGGCUAGCCUCGACUGAACAUUACCGGAGGUAAAGCACUGAAUGGGCUAGGGGCCGAGAGGUUACUGAACCCUAUCAAACUAAGAAUGCCGGAUAAUGAUAGUCGGGAGUCAGACAGUGUGAGAUAAGUUUCAUUGUCGAAAGGGAAACAGCCCAGACCCACAGCUAAGGUCCCAAAGUAUCGUUAAGUGGAAAAGGAUGUGGAACUGCCCAGACAACCAGGAUGUUGGCUCAGAAGCAGCCAUACAUUCAAAGAGUGCGUAAUAGCUCACUGGUCGAGUGGUUCUGCGCCGAAAAUUUAACGGGGCUAAACGAUACACCGAAGCUUGGGAUGCAGCAUUGGCUGCAUGGUAGGAGAGCGUUCUGUACGGGGUGAAGUCAUAGCGGAAGCGGUGGUGGACUGUACAGAAGAGAGAAUGCCGGAAUGAGUAGCGAGAUUUAUGUGAGAAUCAUAAAGGCCGAAAGACUAAGGAUUUAGAAGGAAGGUUCGUCCGCUUCUAGUUAGCCGGGAGCUAAGGCGAGGCCGAAAGGCGUAGUCGAUGCACAUACGGUGGAGAUUCCGUAGCCGCCUCUUAAUUUAAGCAAAGGGACACUUUCAAAGGGAAUGACCCGGGCGUUGGUAGCCCCGGGCGAAAGGGACCGAAAUUAGAGUAGGGAAGCAUUUCUGGAGGAAGGCGAGAAAAGCUUUGCGGAUAGAGAGAGGCGCCCGUACCGCAAACCGACACAGGUAGUCAGGAAGAGGAUUCUAAGGCCAACGGGAGAAGGGUAGUUAAGGAACUCGGCAAAUUGACCCCGUAACUUCGGAAUAAGGGGUGCUCCUGAAAAGGAGCCGCAGUGAAUAGGCCCAGGCGACUGUUUAUCAAAAACACAGCUCUCUGCUAAAUCGAAAGAUGAAGUAUAGGGGGUGACACCUGCCCGGUGCUGGAAGGUUAAGAGGAAGGGUGCAAGCUCUGAAUUGAAGCCCCAGUAAACGGCGGCCGUAACUAUAACGGUCCUAAGGUAGCGAAAUUCCUUGUCGGGUAAGUUCCGACCCGCACGAAUGGUGUAACGAUCUGGGCACUGUCUCAACUACCCACCCGGCGAAAUUGUAGUACCGGUGAAGAUGCCGGUUACCCGCGGCAAGACGGAAAGACCCCAUGGAGCUUUACUGUAGCCUGAUAUUGGGUUUCGGUAUUCUAUGUACAGGAUAGGCGGGAGACUGGGAACCGAUGGCGUCAGCUGUCGGGGAGUCACCCUUGGGAUACCGCUCUUAGAGUACUGGAAUUCUAACCUGCGGCCGUGAAUCCGGCCGGGGGACAUUGUCAGGUGGGCAGUUUGACUGGGGCGGUCGCCUCCAAAAAGGUAACGGAGGCGCUCAAAGGUUCGCUCAGCACGGACGGAAACCGUGCCUCUGAGUGCAAACGCAAAAGCGAGCCUAACUGCGAGGCUGACGGGCCGAGCAGUAACGAAAGUUGGAGUUAGUGAUCCGGCGGUAUGUGAGUGGAAAUGC
rnacentral:rRNA from 1 species